UGCCUGGUACUGGAUAGGAACUUCAUGGAAUGGAGCUAAUGGGCCGUAGGGCAGGUUUGAGUCUUGCCACCCUGGAGCGGAAGGUGGAGAGUAGGGAUAAGACCUCAUUAUUGCACAGCUUAGAGUGGCUUGAAACAAAGGCUUGGAGAAUGUGAGUGAAACUGAUUCCUGUGGUGGAGAGGCAGUGAAAAAGCAUUACCUUGUAGGUUCCCAGGCAGCCUGGACAAUAGGGGGACCUAAACCCACAUUGAAAAGCCUUCACAGCUGAGUCUCAUAGCCCUCAACUUUACCAGUUUUGGAGAACAGAGAUAAAUGCACUGGCCAGAAACUAGAAGAGCAGCUGCUCCAGUUGGCUG
rnacentral:antisense_RNA from 1 species